rnacentral:lncRNA from 1 species
AGUUCAAUUUUGCAAGGAUAACUGAUAUGGACAUUUGUAUUUUAACUUUAAAACAUGAUCUUAGGUCACUUUGGUGUGUUUGCCCUAUCGAUCUUUUUUUUUUUUGAACUGAACGGAAGGGGAGUCCCCUACCUUAAUUUUAUAAACAUUACCAAGAAAGGCAUCAUCUUACAGGGAGAUAUGCAAGAAGUACGGGGGGAGAGGAGGAACAAAUGCAAAAGACUACUUUUUGAUUACAUCAUGUAAGAAUACCACACACACUUUUAAUCAGGCCAUGAGUCUAUCAAGUGCUGGGCAGCCUGUUUCUCGAUCUUUUUCAUACGUAAAAACCACAAUUUGAGGGUAUCUUGACAUUGACGGACAACCAUGGGGAUAGUAAAACGAACAUUGUCAAAUAUUUUACGGUUUCUUGCUAACCAUAAAUUCCAAAGAAUUGCCACAGUCAUCU